rnacentral:rRNA from 1 species
UACGUAGGGCGCAAGCGUUGUCCGGAAUUAUUGGGCGUAAAGAGCUCGUAGGCGGCUUGUCGCGUCGAUUGUGAAAGCCCGGGGCUUAACUCCGGGUCUGCAGUCGAUACGGGCAGGCUAGAGUGUGGUAGGGGAGAUCGGAAUUCCUGGUGUAGCGGUGAAAUGCGCAGAUAUCAGGAGGAACACCGGUGGCGAAGGCGGGUCUCUGGGCAGUAACUGACGCUGAGGAGCGAAAGUGUGGGGAGCGAACAGG